rnacentral:rRNA from 1 species
AUUGAACGCUGGCGGCAUGCCUUACACAUGCAAGUCGAACGGUAACGGGCCUUCGGGUGCCGACGAGUGGCGCACGGGUGAGUAAUACAUCGGAACGUGCCCGAUCGUGGGGGAUAACGAGGCGAAAGCUUUGCUAAUACCGCAUACGAUCUACGGAUGAAAGCAGGGGACCGCAAGGCCUUGCGCGGACGGAGCGGCCGAUGGCAGAUUAGGUAGUUGGUGGGAUAAAAGCUUACCAAGCCGACGAUCUGUAGCUGGUCUGAGAGGAUGAUCAGCCACACUGGGACUGAGACACGGCCCAGACUCCUACGGGAGGCAGCAGUGGGGAAUUUUGGACAAUGGGCGCAAGCCUGAUCCAGCCAUGCCGCGUGCAGGAUGAAGGCCUUCGGGUUGUAAACUGCUUUUGUACGGAACGAAAAGCCUUCUUUUAAUACAGGAGGGUCAUGACGGUACCGUAAGAAUAAGCACCGACUAACUACGUG